rnacentral:tRNA from 1 species
AAGUUUAGGUUAUAAUUUAAACCGAGAGCCUUCAAAGCCCUAAAUAGAACAGUCUGAUCUAACUUCUG